UCCGGUUUGUCACCGGCAGUCUCAUUAAAGUGCCCAUCUUUCAUGCUGGCAAUUAAUGACAAGGGUUGCGCUCGUUGCGGGACUUAACCCAACAUCUCACGACACGAGCUGACGACAGCCAUGCAGCACCUGUGUAUCCGUUCUCUUGCGAGCACUCCCAAAUCUCUCCGGGAUUCGAACCAUGUCAAGGGUAGGUAAGGUUUUUCGCGUUGCAUCGAAUUAAUCCACAUCAUCCACCGCUUGUGCGGGUCCCCGUCAAUUCCUUUGAGUUUUAAUCUUGCGACCGUACUCCCCAGGCGGUCAACUUCACGCGUUAGCUGCGUUACCAAGACAAUUAAGUCCCGACAACUAGUUGACAUCGUUUAGGGCGUGGACUAC
rnacentral:misc_RNA from 1 species